rnacentral:lncRNA from 10 species
CUUUCUUGUAGUUUGGAGACCUAAUAGACCCCGAGGCUUGGUGGGUGGUUCUCUCCUGCUAACUUCUAAAGUUGAAGCUAAGGGGAUCAUUAUUUAUCUGGAGACUAUAAGGCUGUGCUGUCCAGUAUGGUAGUCACCAGCCUCAUGUGGCUGUUGAGAACUUGAAAUGUGGCUAGUCCGGAUCGAGAUGUGCUAAGGAGACAUGCAUACAAGGAGAAUGCCAGGUGAACGUGAAGACCAUCAUUUGCAAGCCAAGAGAGGCCUGGAGCAGAUCCUUCAGAGCCCUCAGAAGGGACCAACCCUGCUGGCACCUUGAUUUUGGACUUCCAGCCUCCAGAACUAAGAACUUGAUGUAUACCUCCUGACCUGUUCAUCUUGUAGCUGCCUCUUGACAGAUAUAAGAGGCCGCCCUGUAGAGGAGGAAGGAGGAAGUUGGCUGUGAUUGACCUUGCUAGGUCAUCUUCCUAAUCUUUGUCCUUUCCUGCACCCCAAAUGGAAGAUAAAAGGCAAUGCAAGAUCAGCAUCCUCAGAGACAUCGUUUUGUUUGGGUUUCAUGGAUUGCAAUUGCCAGAGAUGCUUAGGCUGCCUCUAGAGGGAAGAUGAUUGAUUGUUAACCUAUGUGGUCCAACCAAAUGUCUUAGGGGUUAUUGAUAAUUAAAAUGGACAAUAGCGAUUUUCCAUUUCUUCUGGCCUUGGGUGCUGGCAUGUGGAAGUGGUAUUGAUACUCAUGACCAAAUAGGCACUUAUCGAUUUCAGUUUUCAUAAGUUGCCUACCAAAUGCAAACUAGUAACCCAGACGUGGGAGACCUAAUAUUCCAUUGUUAAUCUUUAGGUCCAUAAUUUUUAUUUCCUCUACUUGCCUCUUCUUCCUUCCUCUGCAUAAUGAGUUGGGCUUAUAUAAUUGCACCCAUUUACUCACUCAUUCGUUCAAUCAAUUAUUUGUUCCUAUUUUAUGCCAAGUAAUGAACAGAAGGUGUUGGGGAUGCAAAACCCAACUAAUUGGAAUUUCUAUGUUACAGGAGCUUAUGCUUUAGUGAAAUUAUAGACAAAUUAUUAUACAGUUUUAAUCCAGAAUAGUAAGUGCUAUGGGAGCAUGCACAGAGGAAACAACCCAAUCUUAAGGAAUCAGGAAGGUUUGCAGAGGACUGACAGGAAAAGUGGGCAGGUGAAGAAGAUGGGCAGUGAGAGGAGGAGUGGAAGCACUUUUGCUAGGGAAAAACAUGAAUAAAAGGGAUAAUUUUCUGCUCUUACCCCUGGGUGAUCUUUGCGUGGUACUGUCCAUCACAGUUGGGAGAGACGGCUCCUCAGAGCUGCUCCACACUGUUCACAGAGGAUGCCAUUCCAAGGAAACUGGGGAAUAGGGAAAGUCUUUAGCUUAUUCCUCUUUGAGGUUUGUUUGAGAUGCAGUUUCUUCAAUAUUUUGAGUCUAUGAAAACAUGUUGUAUACUUAAAUAUAUACCACAAAAAAUAAAAAAAAUUGCGAUUUAAA